rnacentral:misc_RNA from 1 species
UCCGGCUUGUCACCGGCGGUCUCCUUAGAGUUCCCGACUUUACUCGCUGGCAACUAAGGACAAGGGUUGCGCUCGUUACGGGACUUAACCCAACAUCUCACGACACGAGCUGACGACAGCCAUGCAGCACCUGUCUCUCGGUUCCCGAAGGCACUGCCGUAUCUCUACAGCAUUCCGAGGAUGUCAAGACCAGGUAAGGUUCUUCGCGUUGCAUCGAAUUAAACCACAUGCUCCACCGCUUGUGCGAGCCCCCGUCAAUUCAUUUGAGUUUUAACCUUGCGGCCGUACUCCCCAGGCGGAGAACUUAACGCGUUAGCUUCGAUACUAAAAGGUAUAUCCUUCCAACAUCUAGUUCUCAUCGUUUACGGCGUGGACUAC